CAGUUUUAGAUUCUAUUAAAAUCCAGUCAUAGAUUCAACCACUUUAUAACAUGAAGUUCUGCUGUUCCAAACAUUCACAGUCUUUACAAACAGCUGGAAGACUUCUCCCACAUUGCUCUCCUGACAUGUUUACCUCAACUAGACAGCAUCAACCUCCACUAGAGGGCGACAUUAUCUAGUAGGUGGUACAAAACCCAGAUACUGAGCUCAACCUGUCUUUGAAUAAUAACUUCUGCUGAGAAGAGAACAAACGUCACUCUGAAUGUUGAACAUCAGAGAGUUCCUCCUGUUGGUUUAAACCUUGUUGUAGAGAUGGAACUUUGGCUGUGGAUUAUUCUGGCUGCUCUUUUAUUAGAGUGUAAAGGAGAAGACAGAGUGAUCCAGCCAACAGAAGAUGUCUUUGCUUCUGAAGGAGACACAGUCACACUUGAUUGUAAAUUUGAGACAACUGACACAACCCCCUCUUUGUUCUGGUACAGACAAGAAAUGGGUGAUUUCCCAAAGUACCUGUGGAAAAGCUAUGGAAGUUUUUCAGGAAAUGCUCCUGGGAUCUCAGAUGACAGAUUUAAAGCUGCAAAAAAUGGUACAUCAGUUCCUCUGAAGAUCCAGAAGCUUCAGCUGAAUGACUCUGCUGUGUACUACUGUGCUCUGAAGCCCACAGUGACAGGAAACACCACAACUCUGUACAAAAACCUCUGGAGAGAAGACAACACAAUACUCUCCCACAUCCACUAGAGAAAGUCACUGUUCAAACAUACUGUUCAUAGUCUGAUUGAAAUAUCAAAACUUGAGCUUUUCUUACAUUUCAAGGAGGAGCACAGUUUAAAGUUAAGACGUCACUUUUUAGCUGUUAUGACACACUGACCAAUUGCCUAUUUAACAACUCAGCAGCCUGUCAUGGGGUCUUUGAUGACACGUGGAUGAUUGCAUCGUCGACAUACAACUGGCAACAAACAUCUUCACAGCUGUCUGGUAGUUGGUUAAUGUAUAGGCAAAAGAGCAGCGGCCCCAGAAUGGAGCCUUGUGGUACGCCAACAUUACAGUGUUGAGAGGAUGAUAUUGAACUAUUGAUUUUAACUCAUUGCUUUCAAAAUUCCAGAUAUGACUUAAAUCACCUGAGAGCUUGAUUACAGAA